rnacentral:rRNA from 1 species
UACGUAGGGUGCGAGCGUUGCCCGGAUUUAUUGGGCGUAAAGGGCGCGUAGGCGGUGAGAUGCGUCCGUUGUGAAAUCGCCCGGCUCAACUGGGCGGGGUCAGCGGAUACGGCCUCACUUGAGCAAGCUAGGGGGCAAUGGAAUUCCCGGUGUAGUGGUGGAAUGCGUAGAUAUCGGGAGGAACACCAGUGGCGAAGGCGGUUGCCUGGGGCUUUGCUGACGCUGAGAGACGAAAGCUAGGGGAGCGAAUGGG